rnacentral:rRNA from 1 species
UUGUGCUUGCACAGAUGACGACCGGCGCACGGGUGCGUAACGCGUAUAGAACCUACCUUUUACAGAGGAAUAGCCUUUAGAAAUGAAGAUUAAUGCCUCAUAGUAUUGUAGACUGGCAUCAGUUUAUAAUUAAAGAUUUAUCGGUAAAAGAUGGCUAUGCGUCCUAUUAGUUAGUUGGUAAGGUAACGGCUUACCAAGACAGCGAUAGGUAGGGGGUCUGAGAGGAUGAUCCCCCACACUGGUACUGAGACACGGACCAGACUCCUACGGGAGGCAGCAGUGAGGAAUAUUGGACAAUGGACGAAAGUCUGAUCCAGCCAUGCCGCGUGAAGGAUGAAUGCCCUAUGGGUUGUAAACUUCUUUUAUAUAGGAAGAAACCUCUGGAUUUAUCCAGAGCUGACAUUACUAUACGAAUAAGCAUCGGCUAACUCCGUGCCAGCAGCCGCGGUAAUACGGAGGAUGCAAGCGUUAUCCGGAUUUAUUGGGUUUAAAGGGUCCGUAGGCGGAAUUUUAAGUCAGUGGUGAAAGCCUGCAGCUCAACUGUAGAACUGCCAUUGAUACUGAAAUUCUUGAAUAUAUAUGAAGUGGGCGGAAUGCGUCAUGUAGCGGUGAAAUGCACAGAUAUGACGCAGAACACCAAUUGCGAAGGCAGCUCACUAAUGUAUUAUUGACGCUGAGGGACGAAAGCAUGGGGAGCGAAG